rnacentral:misc_RNA from 1 species
CAGAGUUGCAAAACUCCCCAAAACCAUUGUGAACCUUACCUUCAACCGUUGCUUCGGCGGGCGGGCCACAGCGCCCCCCGGGCCCCCCCAGCGGGGCGCCCGCCGGAGGAUACCCAAACUCUUGAUACUUUAUGGCCCUCUCUGAGUCUUCUGUACUGAAUAAGUCA